rnacentral:rRNA from 1 species
UACGGGGGGAGCAAGCGUUGUUCGGAUUUACUGGGCGUAAAGGGCGCGUAGGCGGCCACCGCAAGUCACUUGUGAAAUCUCCGGGCUUAACCCGGAAAGGUCAACUGAUACUGCGGGGCUAGAGUGCAGAAGGGGCAACUGGAAUUCUCGGUGUAGCGGCGAAAUGCGUAGAUAUCGAGAGGAACACCUGCGGCGAAGGCGGGUUGCUGGGCUGACACUGACGCUGAUGUGCGAAAGCUAGGGGAGCGAACGGG